rnacentral:rRNA from 1 species
GACGAACGCUGGCGGCGUGCUUAACACAUGCAAGUCGAACGGAAAGGCCCUGCUUUUGUGGGGUGCUCGAGUGGCGAACGGGUGAGUAACACGUGAGUAACCUGCCCUUGACUUUGGGAUAACUUCAGGAAACUGGGGCUAAUACCGGAUAGGAGCUCCUGCUGCAUGGUGGGGGUUGGAAAGUUUCGGCGGUUGGGGAUGGACUCGCGGCUUAUCAGCUUGUUGGUGGGGUAGUGGCUUACCACGGCUUUGACGGGUAGCCGGCCCGGGAGGGUGACCGGCCACAUUGGGGCUGAGGUACGGCCCAGACUGCUACGGGAGGCAGCAGUGGGGAAUGUUGCGCAAUGGGCGGAAGCCUGAUGCGGCAGCGCCGCGUGCGGGAUGACGGCCUUCGGGUUGUAAACCGCUUUCGCCUGUGACGAAGCGUGAGUGACGGUAAUGGGUAAAGAAGCACCGGCUAACUACGUG